UGUUCGGGGCCUACCUACCUCGCGAGCGGCUGGAGGAGGGAGCGCGCGAGAAAGGCCCCGGGUGGUUCCGUGUCAACCGCGCGGGGUCGCAGCCGGGGAGGUUGCCGCGUGCUCUGUGCACACUUAGCUGAACGUUACUGAUCCACCGGCUGCACCCGAAUUCCAUCCUCUGUGUCUGUUUGUUACCUGCAUUGGUCCGGAGCAACUUCUGGGGGGAGGGAUAGCUCAGUGGUUUGAGCUAUUGGCCUGCUAAACCCAGGGUUGUGAGUUCAAUCCUUGAGAAGGCCAUUUAGGGAUCGGGGGCAAAAAUUGGGGAUUUGAGCAGGGCCCUGAGGUCCCUUCCAACCCUGAUAUUCUAUGGUUCUGUGAAAGCUUGGCUCUUCCAUGCAGCUGCCCUAUGGUUCCUGGGGGACAACAGGUUCAAGAUACAGAAGCUCCUAGGGUGCUUACCUCAGGAGUUGCACACGUUGUCCAUAGGCUGAGUGUAUUGCACAGACCUGGGGGCACCUUGCAUUCCUCCAUUGCCAACCCUCCAGAAACUCCCUGUGUGUCACCGUCCCAUUACCUGUUUCAGGACCCCCUUUGGUCAUGCCAUGGAUUUUGUGUGUCCCCCAUUGACUCCCUUUCCCUCAUUUCUCCCUCCCUGUUUCCUUCCAUAGCAGGGCCCCCCAUUCUCCAGGGGUCCUACUGCCCCAUAAUUCCCCCUCUCCCCAUACCAGGGGAAAUGUGUGCAUUCUCAUUCCGCUUUCUCCCCCAUGCCCCCCCAUUCCCCCAUAUCAGGGUUCCACAUUUUCCCAUAGCAAGGGAUUCUUUGUGCCUCCUAUUCCUGCAUUACCCCAGUGCUUCUCUCCCAUACCAAAGGCUAUUUGUGCACCCCCUUUCCACCCAUUUCCUCUCCCUCCCAUACCUGGGUCCCCCAUUCUGCCCCCUGCCAGAGGUUCUGUGUGCCUCCCUUCUUCUCAUACCAGGGGCUCUGUGUCUCCCUGUCUCCACCCCUAAGCCAGGAGCUCUUGUGUAUGUCCCUAUUUCGCUCUCCCCUUGCCUCCCCAUUCUCCCUUCUUCCCAUCAGAUGUAUUUUUAAUUUCUCCUUUCUUUUCUUUCUCUUUCAGGAUGUCAGUAUUUUUAAAGUUUAUUGGGAUGAUCAGCAAAACUGAGAUUGGGGUGUUGUUAUGAUGGAAUGUGUUAAUGGCUGCCAACCAGUUAUUUCAUUUUUAGACAAUUGCAGAAGUGGUUGAAGCUGGUAGCUCUGCAAACCAGAGUUUGCGAGUGUUGCUGAUAGUGCAGCUCUUAGAGAAGGGCAGGGAGUGAUGGCUACAGAGGGAAACUCCAUUUUUUAUUACAGAAGCAGCAUCUUCUUACCCAGCUGUAGCCGGAACCUGAGCAGCGCGGAGCCACAGUUCUCAUCGAUGGAAGUGGUAGUUGACGGUGCUUGGCACACUCAGAUUCAAUCCUUUUAUGUUGGAUCUUCCCUAUAUACCCCCUCCAUUUCUUGUUAGAAAAAAGUUCUUGCGUUUCUCAUUCUGUUUUCUCUAGCCCUUGGCUGCCCUCAUUUGUUUUCUUUCUCCUCUUGUGAGUCUUCCUUUCUGAUCCUGCUAAUUUUACCCUCA